rnacentral:lncRNA from 1 species
GGAAUCUCUGAACGGGAGCACCUGGCAAAGGUCACCUUUAAAUUGAAGCACAAACCUAUUCCUUUGGGUUAAGUUGGUGCUUUGGUCUUACUGCAGAAGUUGGCACACCUGGGCUGCUGGCCGUGUUACCCAGGACUCACCUCCUUGCGAUUCUUCCUGGUGAGGCUCUGCCAUGCUUGAACCAGGGCAUCCUUUCUCUUGGCAGCCCUGCUGGUGCCGAUCCAUUGGGGCUCUGAACAUCAGAAUGGCACUGGGCCUCCAUGAAGUUCCUUAAGGAGGACAACAGAGGAAUGUUGGAUCCUAUGUGGCUGAUGUGUGGAUGUGAUAUUCAGGUGCAGUGCCAUCCAUUUCCAAGCUUAUCAUAAAUCUUGAUAUAUUUUCACUCUGAUAAUUCGGCAGGCUGCUUGGAGCGGGGGAGGAGCUUCUUGGCAGAGCAGCUGAAUGGCAGCCAAAGAAGGGUACAAGACAAUCUGAACAGUGUUCAGCACGAACAUUUUGCAAUACUCCCCUCUAAUAAUUGGGGUGGUCUCACUUUUGCUCUUCUACACAUCUGUCACCCAACUCUAAUCUGAAAGUUUGGGCUUCUGGCUUUCAUGUCAGUGAUAUCAAAUGGAGCUGAAUGCUGAAAAUGAACUUCAACAAUUCAGAACAAGGCCAAGAAAGUCUGUAAUGCAGAAAGAAGUUCAGGAUACCCAUGCUAGUGCUGGUACACACUCAUGCCCACUUCACAGCACACUUUGGUGCUUUACUGACAUAAAUCCCAGUUGCUCUAAU